rnacentral:rRNA from 1 species
AAUAGAUACCCGGGUAGUCCACGCCGUAAACGAUGGAUGCUAGCUGUAGGGGGUAUCGACCCCUUCUGUAGCGAAGCUAACGCGUUAAGCAUCCCGCCUGUGGAGUACGGCCGCAAGGCUAAAACAUAAAGGAAUUGACGGGGACCCGCACAAGCGGUGGAUCGUGUUCUUUAAUUCGAUGAUAAACGGAGAACCUUACCAGGGCUUGACAUCCUUGGAAUUUCUGCGAAAGCAGUUAGUGCCUUUUGGAACCAAGUGACAGGUGAUGCAUGGCCGUCGUCAGCUCGUGUCGUGAGAUGUUUGGUUAAGUCCAUCAACGAGCGCAACCCUUAUGUUUAGUUGUAUUUUUCUAAACAGACUGCCCGGUAACGGGGAGGAAGGAGGGGAUGAUGUCAGGUCAGUAUUCCCUUAGUCCUGGGCUAGAAACACGAUACAAUGGCUAGUACAAUGCGCAGCGAAGCCGCGAGGUGGAGCAAAUCGCACCAAAGCUAGUCCCAGUUCGGAUUGAGCUGAAACUCGCUCAUGAAGUCGAAUCGCU